CACGAAGGUUGGCUAAGUACGGUCGGACAUCGUACGGUUAGUGUAAUGGUAGAAGCCAGCUUAACUGCGAGACAGACACGUCGAGCAGGUACGAAAGUAGGUCAUAGUGAUCCGGUGGUUCUGAAUGGAAGGGCCAUCGCUCAACGGAUAAAAGGUACUCCGGGGAUAACAGGCUGAUACCGCCCAAGAGUUCAUAUCGACGGCGGUGUUUGGCACCUCGAUGUCGGCUCAUCACAUCCUGGGGCUGAAGUCGGUCCCAAGGGUAUGGCUGUUCGCCAUUUAAAGUGGUACGCGAGCUGGGUUUAGAACGUCGUGAGACAGUUCGGUCCCUAUCUGCCGUGGGCGUUUGAGAAUUGAGAGGGGCUGCUCCUAGUACGAGAGGACCGGAGUGGACGAACCGCUGGUGUUCGGGUUGUUAUGCCAAUAG
rnacentral:rRNA from 1 species